GAUGAACGCUGGCGGCGUGCCUAAUACAUGCAAGUCGAGCGAACAGACGAGGAGCUUGCUCCUCUGACGUUAGCGGCGGACGGGUGAGUAACACGUGGAUAACCUACCUAUAAGACUGGGAUAACUUCGGGAAACCGGAGCUAAUACCGGAUAAUAUAUUUAACCGCAUGGUUCAAUAGUGAAAGACGGUUUUGCUGUCACUUAUAGAUGGAUCCGCGCCGCAUUAUCUAGUUGGUAAGGUAACGGCUUACCAAGGCAACGAUGCGUAGCCGACCUGAGAGGGUGAUCGGCCACACUGGAACUGAGACACGGUCCAGACUCCUACGGGAGGCAGCAGUAGGGAAUCUUCCGCAAUGGGCGAAAGCCUGACGGAGCAACGCCGCGUGAGUGAUGAAGGUCUUCGGAUCGUAAAACUCUGUUAUUAGGGAAGAACAAAUGUGUAAGUAACUAUGCACGUCUUGACGGUACCUAAUCAGAAAGCCACGGCUAACUACGUG
rnacentral:rRNA from 1 species